UAAACUUCAAGAAGUAAAGUAGGUGAAGAUACAAACAUAAAUACAAAAGUACAGAAAUAAUGCAGAGCUCCAGGAAUACAAAUUUCUGGUUACUGUAGACACUGAAAUGUCAAGAGUUUCCCAAAUGGAAAAGUACCAUGAAAGCCACCUACCUACUAUCCUACUACUUUCAAUUAAGAAUGUCCUAAGUUUAUUUUCUGCAGUGUCUCAAAAGUUAAGGGAUAAAGAAGUAGAAACACACUAAAUAUAAAUUAUCAUUAAAAGGCCAAAUCUGACAGGAAUUAGGUAGCUUACUACCACAACUAUUUAACAUGCACGGCCAUUAUUACAGCCAUAUACAACUGGCAUAGGUACAAGUUGCCAUGCAAACCAUCUUUGCUUCUCUGUAUAAACAUGAAAGUCACCAAAAGGUCAGCAAACCAAGGACAAUCGACCAAGAGACUGAAUGCCUUCACAUUCGGUAGACAGCCUGGAGAUUCAGUCCAGUUUACAGCAGACCACUAUUCAUAUAAUGAGGGCCACAGAACCUUAAUUUCAGAAAAAUGGGCAAAGUUUCGCAUUGUAAAGAAGCCUGUGCUGCCAUUACAUAUCCUUUUCUAGAAGUUAUUCCACCAACUUUUUUUCCCCCAAUACAUACUGUAGGGACAAAGUAACUUCUCUAUAGAGUUUCACUCAAGUAAUGGUAAGAGGGUGAAAAAGACCCCAGUCUCACACAUUCAUAUCCAGAUGCUCAAAUUAAAUUCUCAGGCUUCAUACAGUUCAAACUUAUUGCCAUAAAGACAGUUCUGUUCAAGAACAGAACGAAUCUCUACAUUAUUUAGAGUCUCUACAGAGACAGUUAAAGAAGCUGCUGUCAUGUCAGUUUGAUUCUGAAGUGUCACAAAAGGCCAGGGAACACAGCCCUCCUACAUCUUCAAAAGCAGAGACUGAACAGUUCUAUAGGAGGCAAGAGGAACAUAGUGUGAAUUGCAGGAUCACAGCUAUGGGAUCUUAAAGGGCAAGUGGCCAGAAGAGUUCUAUAAUGAGAUCCUGUGGGAAAAGAUAGAGAACUCCUCAAAACUACAAAUCAGUUACAUCAUCAAUUUAUCUGUUACACACUUACCUGGAGAUUCAGUUAUGGAAACACUGUGACUGGAUGUUCGAGAGGAGCUUUUCGGCAUUAUCCGUUGAGGAUGAGGAGUUGUGAACAACUGUUUUGGUGUCUGUCCAAACUCCAAGAUUUGCGUCAGCAGAGCUACUUUCUCAUUGGGAUCCAUAAUGCUUCAGAGAAACAAUAUGAUUAGUUAGGGCAAGUUCUUUCUUUCCACCCUGGAGGCACAGGCUGAAAGUACAGUUACUACAGUCACCACAGAACUGAUUUACUGCAGACGCAACAGACAUUCAUACGACAGUUCUAGAAUUUCCUUUAUGUACAAUGACAACACCACCUUCAGUUAAAAAUAAUAGUAAUAAUAAUAAAAAAAUUCACAGAAAUCAUGAAGAAGAAUUCAAGUAACAGUCUUUGAACAUCUGUUAAAGACUGGCAACCUGGUGCCAGUUCACCAGCUAUUUUUACAGCCAGCAGAGAACGUGAAGAGAAGGAUAAAUUCAGCUAGCUGUUUUUACAAAAACAUUCAGAUUCUUAAUUACCUGUUUAAAUCCACUCCUCCUUCAUAAGUUAAUGGGUGAAACACUGGAAAAAAAAAUAUUUGUACAAUAUAAAAAUACAAGGUUUAUCCUAGGCUUGAAUCUAAGCGCCUCAGAGGCAGUUUCCAAAGCUAGCUUCCAAAGGAAGGACAGCUUAUUUAAUCUUCAUGAAGGAGAACGUCCUCCCACCUCCCCGAAAAUGCAUAGCUAUGUAACUGGAUCUUUGGUUAUUUUAUAGACAGGUAACAAAAUAUAGCAAGAAAGAUCAUAAAAGUCUACCUAUGCUCCAGCUCAUUCGAUAUAAUGGUAGUGGGUUGCAAACUCUGCAAAUUACAUUGGGAGCUCUGUAUAUGAACACUGUCCCUUGAUAUCAAGUCAUUUGUACACAGGUCCUUUCUGUCUCUCUUAUCUACUCAGGAGGACCUUGCAGUCCAUUACACUAACAAAAAAAUCACAUUGCAUCAAGAGAAGCAUGUUUUGCUUUAGAAGUAUAUUUGCAUAAUAACAUACAGAUGCUAUAAUGUAAAUACCACUUCUCUUUAUUCAGAGUCUCUGGCAUCUUUUACCUUACAUUUAAGACAUCUAAUCACAUGGUAAUCGGACCUUAUCCUUAGCAGAUAUUUACAUAGUUAAGCUAAAUAUCACACUGUUAAACAGAUCAAUCAUUGAUAUUACUAUGAUGUGUAGAGAACUUCAGCACACCAACAUCACAAAUACUGAAAAACAGCUUCUUUUAUAAGAAUUUACAAUAGCUACCUACAAGAUCAAAACAAUAUAACUAACAAUUAAACUUUACUUACAUAGAAUAAAAAGCACACGUACUACAGGAGGACAAAUCUGAUUACCCACGUAUUUUUUCCUCAAUUUGUGCUCCUAAACAGCUGUAGCCCAUUACCUUCUUUCCCUUCCCAGUUCACUCAAGUGGGGGGGAGGUUUCUGAAUUGAAAUCCUCACUCUACAAUCACAGCAUAAGGACCAUCAAAUACCUGUUUGUGUGGCAGCUCCUACAAACUCCCAUUCCUAAUUGAGCCCUACUACUUGAACACUACUUUGCCAUACUGCACUGUGAGUAAAUAACAGCAACACUGCAGAAUCAUCUUAGCUACCAUUUUAGAAUCACAGAAUUGCUCAGGUUGGAAAAGACCUUAAAGAUCAUCAAGUCCAACCAUAACCUAACCAUACUACCGUAACAACCCUCCACUAAAUCAUGUCCCUGAGCAAAGAUUUUACAUCUUCAAAGAUGAAGGCAAUAGAUUUUUACAAGCAAGGCGCUACUUCCAGUAAGGAAAACCUGUAUUACCUUUAAGGAUCAAGCAUUUAAAGCAUAGUAAUUAAAUCAAAGGCAAUUUAUCAUUACAGACAGCUGUUAUUUACCUUGCUUUGGCUUUGCUACUUCAGAGAAAUGCACACUUACCAUUGCAAGCUGUAACAGCUUUACUUCCUUUCUGUUUGCAGCCAAACACGAGGUCAAUCCACUCAUGAAGAUGCUCCGAUACAUACUGACUUUCUAAAGCCUCUUGGCUCUUCCGAAGAAAGUCAUCAGGACCUGGCAAGAGACAGACUGUAAUCAGAGAUUUCCCACUUAGUAUCAUUAUCCCUCUCUGUUCCUCCAGAAAGAACAAAACCAGAAGACCCAUACUAAACUCAAAAUUGCUAUGAAUAUAUCAGUGUUUAAGAGCAAAAGUUACUUCAGGUGAUAACUGUGAGAGCUUUUGAGAGAAAAACAAUCCCAGGAAAUAAUGAUAAUCCCAAAUUCAUUCAUAACACAAGAAGCUGACUACUACCUGAUGCCCAAGGGGGAAGCUCUACAUCUUCAACAGCCUUUCCACCCUGUCUUUUUCCCAAGUCCAAUUUCAAACUGUUUACUAGAAAGCUAGAAUCGUUUUCAUAAAAUUCUGGAAUCAACUGGUAGAAAAGAAAAAAAAAAUAAGAAAGGAAAAAGUUCUGAGGUUAGCUUAGCUUUAGUCAUUUUAACUAGAAGACAUUCAGUAAAAACGUUAUUCAAGUUCACACAUUAAGCCCUAAAGUCGGAUAGUAAUUCCUCCAAUCCUUCCUCUUUGUCAGAAAAGAAGCACUAGAAAUUUCCUCUCAUUACAAUUUCAACUUCCAACUAUUAGGCUUCCUGUCCACUAACAAGGCAAUUAUCUGAGCUAAAUUCAGGGGCUUAUAUAUUUUUAAUACAGCACAUGCAGCAUGUGAAUCCAUAAUAACAAGAGUAUAUCCAGAUCUCUAACAGCAUAGCUGCCUUCUUAUUUUUAAGACAUCAAUUAAGAUUCAUGACAAAAAUCUAGAAUACAACCAGAAUGAUGACAGAAGUUUGAGAAUUUAAAUCAGUUAUUUAAAGACCAACAAAGCUAACCAUUCUUAAUUCCUCCAUUAUGUAUUUUUAAAAACUAUCAUUAAUCACUUUGAUAGAAAACAUCUAACAUCACCCACUAGCAGGCAGUUAAUCAUUCAACAUAUUCUACAAGUUAUUGGCUUCUAUAAAGCUCAAGAAAACAGGUUAAAAUGUCUGUCGUUUAACAUCCCAAAUAUACUGCUACCACAGAAUAACUUGGAUCCAAAGAGACCUUGAAGCCCAUGUAGUUCUAGCCCCGCCCCCCUCCCCACCCACAAUGACAGCAGGGCUGCCAGCCACUAGAUCAGGUCACCCAGGGCCCCAUCCAACCUGGCCACAAAUGCCCACAGGUACGGGGCAUUCACAACUUCUCUGGGCAAUCUGUUUCAGUGCCUCACCAUCCUCUGAGUAAAGAAUUUCCUCCUGAUAUCUGCAUCUUCCCUCUUCUAGUUUAAAACCAUUCUGCCUUGUCCUACUGCUGUCACACUGUGCAAAAAGUCAGCCUCCCUCUUUAUUAUAAGCUCCCUUUAAAUAAUGGAAGGCCGCAAUGAGGUCUCCUCCAAACUGAGCUUCCUCAAUCUUUCUUCCAAAGAGGGGUGCUCCAGCCUUCCAAAUAUUUUCACAGUUCUCCUCUGGACCCAUGUCUGUCUCGUACUGGGAACCUCAGGCCUGGACACAGCACCCCAAAUAGGGCCUCACAAGGGCACAGCAGAGUAGGACAGUUACCUCCCUUUCCCUGUUGGCCAUCUCUCUAUUGAUGCAACCCAGGAUACAGUAGGCCUUCUGAGCUGCAAGCACAUACUACUGAUUCAUCCUCAAGUACUUCUCCACAGAGCUGCUCUCAACAACUUCUCCAGUCUGCACAGAUAUCUGAGAUUACCCUGACACAAGCACAACACCUUGCACUUCAUAUCCUUGAAUCUCAUCAGGUUCUCUCAGACCCACUUCCCAAGCUGCCCAUGUCCCUUUAGAUGGCAUCCCUUCCUUCUCUUAUAUCACCUGCACCAUCCUGCUUAGCCUUAUAAUGCAGCCAAAUCCUAGAGUGGCUCCAGUAGAUGAACCCCAUAUCUACGACUGCAUGUUUCCCACUUAGUCCUGUAACAUUCAUAAUGACAUUUAUGUCAAAUGAAAAGACAGUAAGACAUACAAGGAAUCACACAAUUACAGAGAAUAAAGGUUCAGAACGUGAAAGGAUACAUGAAAUGCCAUCAGUAGCUGAGAUAAAAAUAUAAAUGAAUUAAGAUCAACAGGAGACAUCUGAGAAAAGUUCUGCACAAGUGCUCAGACUUGAGUUAUUUUCUGGCCAUUUACCUCCUUGAAAUCUGUUGCGCCAUCCAAACAGUUUUUCCAGGUUUCUGCAACACUUGAGAACAUAUCAAUUACACAGUUGUUAGAAAACAUUUAAAAUGCUUUGCACUCCCCUGAUGUCUAUUUUAAAAUGACAACUUACAUACAGACAAAACGUAAACAAACCUGUUGAACAUUCUGUCAGCAUGAUCAAACUUUCCAUUCUGCAAACAGAGCAUGUAUUCUGGAGC